rnacentral:tRNA from 1 species
GCAGGUAUGGUGUAAUGGUAGCAUUUUUGCUUCCCAAGCAAACGGCGCGGGUUCGAAUCCCGUUACCUGCUCCA